GCUGUUUUAGUUUAUUUUAGAAUGUUUGAUUUGUAAUCAUGAGGAAUUUAGCAGCU
rnacentral:tRNA from 2 species